GGGCUUGUGGUUUAGUGGUAUAAUAUCCGCUUAGCAUAUCUAGCAUGCGGAUGGUCCCGGGUUCGAUUCCCGGCGAGUCCA